rnacentral:rRNA from 1 species
GAUGAACGCUAGCGGGAGGCCUAACACAUGCAAGCCGAGCGGUAUUUAUUCUUCGGAAUAGAGAGAGCGGCGUACGGGUGCGGAACACGUGUGCAACCUGCCUUUAUCAGGGGGAUAGUCUUUCGAAAGGAAGAUUAAUACCCCAUAAUAUAUCUGAUGGCAUCAUUAGAUAUUGAAAACUCCGGUGGAUAGAGAUGGGCACGCGCAAGAUUAGAUAGUUGGUGAGGUAACGGCUCACCAAGUCAGUGAUCUUUAGGGGGCCUGAGAGGGUGAGCACCCACACUGGUACUGAGACACGGACCAGACUCCUACGGGAUGCAGCAGUGAGGAAUAUUGGACAAUGGGUGCGAGCCUGAUCCAGCCAUCCCGCGUGAAGGACGACGGUUCUAUGGAUUGUAAACUUCUUUUAUACUGGGAUAAACCUACCCUCGUGAGGGUAGCUGAAGGUACAGUAUGAAUAAGCACCGGCUAACUCCGUGCCAGCGGCCGCGGUAA